GCCGCUUUAGCUCAGUUGGUAGAGCACAUCAUUCGUAAUGAUGGGGUCGUAGGUUCGAAUCCUAUAAGCGGCACCA
rnacentral:tRNA from 1 species